AUUGAACGCUGGCGGCAGGCCUAACACAUGCAAGUCGAGCGGAUGAAGGGAGCUUGCUCCUGGAUUCAGCGGCGGACGGGUGAGUAAUGCCUAGGAAUCUGCCUGGUCGUGGGGGAUAACGUCCGGAAACGGGCGCUAAUACCGCAUACGUCCUGAGGUAGAACGUGGGGGAUCUUCGGACCUCACGCUAUCAGAUGAGCCUAGGUCGGAUUAGCUAGUUGGUGGGGUAAAGGCCUACCAAGGCGACGAUCCGUAACUGGUCUGAGAGGAUGAUCAGUCACACUGGAACUGAGACACGGCCCAGACUCCUACGGGAGGCAGCAGUGGGGAAUAUUGGACAAUGGGCGAAAGCCUGAUGCAGCCAUGCCGCGUGUGUGAAGAAGGUCUUCGGAUUGUAAAGCUCUUUAAUUUGGGAGGAAGAGCAGUAUGUGAAUACCUGGCUGUUUUGACGGUACCAAAAGAAAAAGCACCGGCUAACUACGUG
rnacentral:rRNA from 1 species